UGGCGAUGAGGAAAGAUACAAGUUUUGAACUAUGGUGAUAGUUGUAUACGCUAUUCUGAGCCAGCC